GUAUUCGCAAAAAGAAAAGGAGUACUUGUGGCACCUUAGAGACUAACCAGUUUAUUUGAGCAUAAAUAAAUAAAUUAAUUAAAUAAAUUGCUCAAAUAAAUUGGUUAGUCUCUAAGGUGCCACAAGUACUCCUUUUCUUUCAGUU
rnacentral:ncRNA from 1 species